UAGCGGAACUCCUACGGGAGGCAGCAGUAGGGAAUCUUCGGCAAUGGGGGGAACCCUGACCGAGCAACGCCGCGUGAGUGAAGAAGGUUUUCGGAUCGUAAAGCUCUGUUGUUAAGGAAGAACGAGUGUGAGAAUGGAAAGUUCAUACUGUGACGGUACUUAACCAGAAAGGGACGGCUAACUACGUGCCAGCAGCCGCGGUAAUACGUAGGUCCCGAGCGUUGUCCGGAUUUAUUGGGCGUAAAGCGAGCGCAGGCGGUUAGAAAAGUCUGAAGUGAAAGGCAGUGGCUCAACCAUUGUAGGCUUUGGAAACUGUUUAACUUGAGUGCAGAAGGGGAGAGUGGAAUUCCAUGUGUAGCGGUGAAAUGCGUAGAUAUAUGGAGGAACACCGGUGGCGAAAGCGGCUCUCUGGUCUGUAACUGACGCUGAGGCUCGAAAGCGUGGGGAGCGAACAGGAUUAGAAACCCUAGUAGUCCACUUAUG
rnacentral:rRNA from 1 species